rnacentral:rRNA from 1 species
CCUACGGGUGGCAGCAGUGGGGAAUAUUGGACAAUGGGGGAAACCCUGAUCCAGCGACGCCGCGUGAGUGAAGAAGUAUUUCGGUACGUAAAGCUCUAUCAGCAGGAAAGAAAAUGACGGUACCUGACUAAGAAGCCCCGGCUAACUACGUGCCAGCAGCCGCGGUAAUACGUAGGGGGCAAGCGUUGUUCGGAAUGACUGGGCGUAAAGGGUGUGUAGGUGGUUUGAUAAGUUAGAUGUGUAAUACCCAGGGCUUAACUCGGGUGCUGCAUCUAAAACUGUUAGACUUGAGUACUGGAGAGGAUAGUGGAAUUCCUAGUGUAGCGGUGGAAUGCGUAGAUGUUAGGAGGAACAUCAGUGGCGAAGGCGACUAUCUGGACAGCAACUGACACUGAGGCACGAAAGCGUGGGGAGCAAACAGGAUUAGAUACCCUUGUAGUC